CUGAAAAACCAAAGCAAAAUAUAAUUUUGAUCAACAUCCCUGAAUUCAACGGAGAGCUCAACGCGCUGCAACUUAAGAAAACACAUGCAAAUAGAAAAAAACACCAGCAAAUUAAGAAAACAUCUUCGUCAGUUUGACAACACGUGUGUUGCAAAUCCUCACAACACAACCAAUAAGGAACGCGCUGCAAAUAGCAGGGACCACAAUGGAAAUGUUUCAAGGGGACCCAAAAAAGUGACGGACCUGGCUGGGAUUUGCGUAUUGUGCAGUGGCUAUUGGUCAGUGGAGUUGUCGGUGAACUGAAAGGUUAUGUAUUGUCCAUAUUGUGGACUCGAACUGGCUGGACAUAUGGGUUGCUUUUGUGGUUCCUGUGGUAGCAAUAUUCAAUUUUUGGCACCUUUUCUACAGAAUGACUCAGGAACCGUAUUAGAUGAAAUCACAGAGGCAGGCCUAAUCCAUAAAUGUAUCUCAGAGGGCCACACAUAUGAAAUGAUCCUCGAUUUUCUUGGAACAAAGCAUAACAUUUUGUAACCUGAGUGUGAGC